rnacentral:lncRNA from 1 species
AAUAAAUGACUAUUUCAUAUAAAAUGUAACUAAUCGAAAAAAGAAAACGUUUUCUAAUUAAAAUAUUAAUUUAUUUUAUUAUCGUUUUUUUUACCAUUUAAAAAUUGUUAGCGUGUUAGAAAAAAAUGAAUUGUUAUUGAGUCAGAAGUGCACAAUUUAUUUAUUUUUAAAAUGUAAAAAUAAUAUAUACAAUGUUUAAUUUCUGCUGGUACCUUAGAACAAAUUGUUAUAAAAGAAAUAUAUCGCAAAUAAUUAAUAAAAGACGGUUCCACCAAUUUACUAGCAAACGAGGAGUACAAACCGUGGCUAUUAAAAGAAAGGAUAGAAUAAAAAGAGAAAGAAAUUUAAAUCUAAAAGAAAAGAUAAAACUCAUUAUUUUUAGCUCUAUUUACUUUUUUGCUUGUGAUUAUAUUUAUCACGUAUACGUGUUACACGAUAGAACAACGGAAAAUGCUAAAAGUGGGAAUGAAAAGAAGAACACAACCUCCUUGUUAAAUUAUAUCAAAGGUAUUAUUAUACCUACAAACACCCCAUGUAAAAAAAGUGAUGUAAAUAGCAAUAUAAUACAACAACAAAAAGAAAAGGAUGUCAAAACAAAAAAUAUAUUUAACGAAAGCGUUGUUAAAAAUAACUACUGGAAAGAAAAUAAAAACGAUAACAAUAGACAGUGCGAAAAAAAUGAAAUAAAAAAUUGUAAAACAAAAGAACAAGAUCCUUACGAAAUAAAAAUAAAUCGAAUAACAAAGAAAAAUGAGUUUAAAAAUACAAAUAAGAAUUUUUCAGAAAAAGAUAUUAGCCAUAAUAAUCAACUUUUUGGCUAUGAUAAUAACAAAAAAAGUGGAAGUAAAAAAAAUGUAAAUAACGAAGAAAAAAAUUUUAAAAAUAUAAUUACAAAUAGUAUUUACAAAGAUGACUUAUUCAAUUACUGUAAUUUAUUUAUGUAUGCAAAUGGAAUCGUAUUUUUAUGUUGGAGACUUAGUGAAUUAGCUAGAAAUAAAAAAUUUUAUCAUUUUAUGUGCAGACAUUUUAUUUGUUCAUAUGAAAAUAUUAAGAAAAAAUAUUUUCACACAAUUUUGACAGCAGGUAUAAGUCAUAUGACUUUUCCUCAUUUUUUAUUUAAUAUGUG